rnacentral:misc_RNA from 1 species
GCGCGCGCUGAGCGAUCGCGGCCGGAGGCGCCGGUGAUCCCGGAGCGGGCCGC